GAUGAACGCUGGCGGCGUGCCUAAUACAUGCAAGUCGAGCGAACGGACGAGAAGCUUGCUUCUCUGAUGUUAGCGGCGGACGGGUGAGUAACACGUGGAUAACCUACCUAUAAGACUGGGAUAACUUCGGGAAACCGGAGCUAAUACCGGAUAAUAUUUUGAACCGCAUGGUUCAAAAGUGAAAGACGGUCUUGCUGUCACUUAUAGAUGGAUCCGCGCUGCAUUAGCUAGUUGGUAAGGUAACGGCUUACCAAGGCAACGAUGCAUAGCCGACCUGAGAGGGUGAUCGGCCACACUGGAACUGAGACACGGUCCAGACUCCUACGGGAGGCAGCAGUAGGGAAUCUUCCGCAAUGGGCGAAAGCCUGACGGAGCAACGCCGCGUGAGUGAUGAAGGUCUUCGGAUAGUAAAGCUCUGUUAUUAGGGAAGAACAUAUGUGUAAGUAACUGUGCACAUCUUGACGGUACCUAAUCAAAAAGCCACGGCUAACUACGUG
rnacentral:rRNA from 1 species